rnacentral:rRNA from 1 species
CCUGGUGAGUAAAGUGGCGUACGGGUGAGUAACACGUGGAUAAUCUACCCUGGAGUGGGGAAUAACGCUGGGAAACCGGCGCUAAUACCGCAUAAUCCCGAGAGGGCAAAGGAGCAAUUCGCUUCAGGAGGAGUCCGCGGCCGAUUAGCUAGUUGGCAGGGUAAAAGCCUACCAAGGCAACGAUCGGUAGCCGGCCUGAGAGGGCACACGGCCACACUGGCACUGAAACACGGGCCAG